rnacentral:lncRNA from 1 species
CAGCCUGCCGACAAUGCCACGUUACCCAAUAGUAACUUCAGUUGAGCUUCGAUAAACAGGUGUCGCAACAACUGGUCGGCAGCGGUGAGGUACGCUACCCUGGAGAAUGCAGCAGUACUAAACUCUUGUACCUAGACCAGCAUUUUUGUUUUCCCAUAUACUAUGUUGCGUUGCAAAUUUCAGAGCGUAUAAUAUACACAGUGAACAAUUAACGGUGUACAUUUAUUCAAGAACUAGUGUGUUUAUUCUUGUUUGUUGACAUAGCUGCUCAGCUAAAUCGUAGCAUUGCAGGUCCUUGUUUUAUGCAUUAUAGUGUCGUGUGUUUUUCUUUGCCCUCUUCUCACCCUCCCCUUCUGCUUUCUUUUUAUCAACUACACAGGUCAUUGAUGAUCUCUUGAGAGAAAGCGCUGGGAAUGAAGAGCUUGACAUGCAGAAGGAGCAUUUCCCACUGGGCGCAACAACGGCCGUGAAAGCUGAUCCAUGUUGUUUAGGUGGCACAAAUGACUCCUUGACCUCAACUGCCUCGUGUAGUAGAGAUGCCGGUAUACAGAACGACCGUGGGAGGCAUUCUGAAUAUGUACAAGUGUUUCUGCGACCAGUGCAACGACAUGUACGGAUUCAAACCACUACAAAGACUGCAAAUUCAGGUUCACAAACUGAUGCUGUUUCACCAGAUUCAAGUGAUUCUGAACUUGAAGUAGGAGCUGAAGACAUUGGCACUACCUUAGUGUGGCACUCUGCUCCUCGUAAAAGCCGGCAGUAAAGUGGUGAA